GCGAGUUGAUGGGAAACCUAAAGUUCCCAUGGCAAACUGCUCAGUAACACAUGAUCAACUUACCCUAUAGAGAAAAAUAACCUCGGGAAACUGAGGAUAAUGUUUCAUAGUUGAAUUGGCUUGGAAAAGUUUUUCGACGAAAGGGGUAAAAAAAAUGGUUUUUAUCUGCUAUAGGAUAGGAUCGUGUUCGAUUAUGGUUGUUGGUGAGGUAAUGGCUCACCAAGCCGAUAAUCGAUAGGGGCCGUGAGAGCGGGAGCCCCGAGAUGGGUACUGAGACAACGACCCAGGCCUUACGAGGCGCAGCAGGCGCGAAACCUCCGCAAUACACGAAAGUGUGACGGGGUUACCCAAAGUGUUCAAUUUGAACUGUGGUAGGUGAGUAAUGUUCCCUACUAGAAAGGAGAGGGCAAGGCUGGUGCCAGCCGCCGCGGUAAAACCAGCUCUUCAAGUGGUCGGGAUAAUUAUUGGGCUUAAAGUGUCCGUAGCCGGUUUAGUAAGUUCCUGGUAAAAUCGGGUAGCUUAACUAUCUAUAUGCUAGGAAUACUACUAUACUAGAGGGCGGGAGAGGUCUGAGGUACUGCAGGGGUAGGGGUGAAAUCUUAUAAUCCUUGUUGGACCACCAGUGGCGAAGGCGUCAGACUGGAACGCGCCUGACGGUGAGGGACGAAAGCCAGGGGAGCGAACCGGAUUAGAUACCCGGGUAGUCCUGGCCGUAAACGAUGCAUACUAGGUGAUGGCACGGCCAUGAG
rnacentral:rRNA from 1 species